rnacentral:rRNA from 1 species
CAGUAGCCGCGGUAAUACGAAGGGGGCUAGCGUUGCUCGGAAUUACUGGGCGUAAAGGGAGCGUAGGCGGAUCGUUAAGUUGGGGGUGAAAGCCCGGGGCUCAACCUCGGAACUGCCUUCAAUACUGGCGAUCUUGAGUAUGAGAGAGGUGUGUGGAACUCCGAGUGUAGAGGUGAAAUUCGUAGAUAUUCGGAAGAACACCAGUGGCGAAGGCGACACACUGGCUCAUUACUGACGCUGAGGCUCGAAAGCGUGGGGAGCAAACAGGAUUAGAUACCCCAGUAGUCCCUGUCUCUUAUAC